CCCCUUUCACAGCCACCUACCUCACGAGUCCACAAUGGGGCCUCCAACAAGGGACUGAGAACAAGGGUCAUAGCUUUCCUUCUGGGCCGAUAGUCUCAGCUCAGUGCAUUUGCCACCCCCUAACCUGUUCCCAGCUUAUCUUAGGAUGAUCAGAAUCUCUCCUGCCAGGCUUUCUGCACAAGGUCACCUACAUGUUCCAGUGGUUGCUCCUAGCCUUGUGUACCCCCUGCCCAGGAAUGGAAAAAAAAAUAUUUUAAAGAGCCAGUCUUACCUGUUUUCCAUCUUCCACCACUGAGGACAGAACAGGAAAAUCAAAGAAUCACCCAUCAGAGCUGUGAUAGUCAAGGACCACCCCAUACCUGAGCAAGAACUCCCUUUAUGACAUAUUUGACAAGUGAGCUUUCAGGCUCCAGUGAAGUCUCCCCCUCUGGGCCAGCACAUUCCACUUGGUGAUAAGUUGUCAUUGUUAGAAUGAUGCUCCCUUACACGGAGUCUAAAUUUGUCUCUCUGUCACUUGUCAGUCAGUUGACAAGCAUUUAUAAAGCAAUUACUAGGACCUGUGCUAAGUGCCAGGAAUACAAAGAAAGACAGAAACAUGGGCCUUCACCUGGAGGAGUUUAUGCUAUGAUGGGAGAGAUCUACAACAGUUUGCCAACAGGAUCCUGGAGAGGGUUUUGUUCUAGAAUUGAUUCCAUACUGACUACUAACCAAAGUCUGAAGAUUUUGUCAACCAUUGAUCACUACAAACAAUAUCUGAAGAUUAUGUCAUCUACUGACCACAGCAACUAAGGAUUAAGUAAGCUACUGAUCACUACAAUGUUUGAGGACUACAUCAGGACAAUGUCACUACCUUGGCAGGGAUGCAUAAAACUUACAUGGAGGUCAUGUCAGAAUGAACAGAAUUCAAGAAUUUAGGUAGAAAGGGUGGCCAAGAUGAUAUAUAAUAAUCAUUAAAAAAAUGUUACAUUAACCUGGAUCUAUUAUACAUCUGGACCACAAAAGGGCUGUACUACAACUUUAUCAACCCUCCCAGUUCCCCCUCUCUUGAAGUUUCCAAAUUGAUGAAUUUACCUGGGAGCACUUGGAAAGUUUUUUUUUUUUUAAUGGUGAUCUGGGAAGGGUUGGUCAGCUAGUCCUAGCUAUGUCACCACAAUUGUAUGAAUUUUUUAUUGGUUCUCAACUUUUGCCAGUAAGUUAUCACAAAUUAGAGAAACAGGCUUUAUUAUACAUUUAGCGUGUGAUACAGCUCACCAGAAGUUGACGGGAAUGUGUGUCAUUCACAAUUCAGCUAGUAGAAUUUAUUACAUGAAACAAAGAAAAAAAGAUGGUUGUUUAUUAUAGUGCAACUGGUUAUACAAAUUAAAAAGUGUGCUUGUUAAGAAGAAUGUAUAUCAUUAACUACAGGAAAUAGAAAAGGGAUAUAUGUCUUUGUUAGUAUAGCUAGUUUCAUUAAAUCAAAGGAACUACCUGCCAGGCUAGAUAAAGGAGGGAAGCAUUCCAAAGACUACAAUCUUUUUUUAAGUAAUUAAGUCAUUUUGUACCAAUUAGGGAAGCAAAUAAAGAUUGUGAAGGGAACCA
rnacentral:lncRNA from 1 species